GCCGGGCACAGUGGCCCACGCCUGGAAUCCCAGCGGCUCAGGAGGCCGAGGCAGGAGGAUCGCAAGUUGGAGGCCAGCCUCAGCCACUUAGCAAGACCCUGUCUCUA
rnacentral:sRNA from 1 species